rnacentral:rRNA from 1 species
AUUGAACGCUGGCGGUAGGCUUAACACAUGCAAGUCGUGCGAGAAAGUAUCUUCGGAUAUGAGUAGAGCGGCGGACGGGUGAGUAACGCGUAGGAAUCUACCUAGUAGAAGGGGAUAGCCCGGGGAAACUCGGAUUAAUACCGUAUACCUCCUUCGGGAGAAAGAAGGCCUCUCAUUGAAGCUUUCGAUAAAAGAUGAGCCUGCGUAAGAUUAGCUUGUUGGUGAGGUAAAGGCUCACCAAGGCGACGAUCUUUAGCGGGCCUGGGAGGACGAUCCGCCACAUUGGGACUGAGACACGGCCCAGACUCCUACGGGAGGCAGCAGUGGGGAAUAUUGGACAAUGGGCGCAAGCCUGAUCCAGCCAUACCGCGUGUGUGAAGAAGGCCCUAGGGUUGUAAAGCACUUUAAGUUGGGAAGAAAAGUUAUUGGUUAAUACCC